GGGUCAACCUGUUUUAUUGAUUCCGGGUCUUUAACCGUUGGAUUUGGAUUCAGAAACCUUCUGUCUAUAAUAGAAGUUUCCGGGGCAUAGGUUUUUUCCCCAGAAAGGACCUUCACCCAUAAGUUGAAGGCAUAGAAUAAAGAGAAUGAAUCUCCCAUGAUGUUGGCCCAGCUCAGGCCCAAAGCUAAUCCUCUGCACUUAAACCGGGUCAUCUGCGGAUACAAACCGAGAUAAGGUUUUCUUGUCACUUAACACGUCCAUGAAUUACCAAGGAAAAUCAAACCCUGGGUGGAAACUCUAGUUGGAAUUCAUUUAACAAUAUACCAAGACCACUUGGUUCAAAUUUGGUAUUUAACCAAACCGCAUCUUCAUUUAUCGACACUCUGUAACCCCAUGGGGAUUCUCACUCUUUUCUAUUUAUUCCUAAAUUUAUGUAAUAAAAUCACUUGCUUUGCCUUUGAUUCGUGGUCUAUUUGGCAAACCAUUUGCAAAAGCAUUAUACUCUUUAUUAUUUAAUCAACAGUUUUUUUUAAGAAAGGUUAUUUACAUAACUAUCAAUGAUUGCAAAAAUCUAUGAUCAGACCUAUCAAUUACAUAGUGUGUUGAAAGUUGAAACCAUCGUUGCAUCAUUCCUCCCAAUUUGUGAUCGAACCGAUACCGCAAGGAUUGUAUUUUUAUUUAAUCAACAAUUACUAAAAAUAUAUGUUGAAAAGUAUUUAUAACAUAUAAUUACUUUCCAAAUGUUAGUUGUUCAAUGCUUUCAUACAGAACUUUUGGUAUACUAUUUACAUUUGUUGUAAAGCCCUUUUUCAAAAAAAAAAUAUUUACAUUUGCAAUAUAUAUUAGUUAAAAAAUAAUUAUAUACAAUUAGUUUAUUUUAUUUAAUAAUAUCAAAUUUUGUGUUUAUAUCCAAAAGUAACUUUUAUAUUUUAAAAACAAAAAUUUUAAAAUAAUAUUUCACAUUUAUAAUUUAAUUGAAUAUAUCUAAUUAAAUACGAUUCAUUAUCUUAAAUAACAAAAAUAUGAUGUAAAUGUAUUUAUAUUAUUUAAAUAACUUAUAUAUCAGUUACUGAUCUAUCACCGUUCGUUUAGCGCCUAUCGCUUUUUUGAACAUUAUAAAAACAAAAGAGCUCAAUUAUUUUCUUGCUUUGUUCUUUUAAUUUUAGUUAUGCAGUUUUUCAAAAAUAUAUAAUGAAAACAUAAAAGUAAGAGAUAUAUUGAGAUACAAGUUUCGUAAUAGACCCUUUGAGAUACUCUCAAGAAAUUCACAAGCCAUCUGUCAAUUUAUAAGUGGAUUUUUCCUUUUCAAAAUUUUUAAAUUUAUUUAAUUAUAAAAACAAUAUUAAAGUAGUAUUAUUUAUUUUAUAUACUCAAUUUGGAGUUAUAAUAGCUCUUAAGCCUUGAUUGUUAGAAUUGAUGAUAAAGCAAUAAUAUCAAAACAUUAUAGACUGUUGUAAAAGCUGUGUGCUUUUACUAAUAUACUCCGUAUAGAUAGCUUUUUUAAACAUGGAUUUUUAUAAACAUUUAUUGCUUUUCAGCAAAAAAAUUUUUUUUAGCAAUUUUACAGAUUAUAUUUAAGAUCAAAUGAUUUUAGUAGCCUACGAUUUUUAAAACAAUGGAAAAAAAAAGUCAGCUUAAACCCGGGUCUGAACCCGCAAUAUAUUUGUCUGAAAUGUCUUCGAGUUUUUAUUAAAUACGGCCAUUAAUGUGGCAGUGUCUUUUAAUGCAAGUUAUUGGUACGGUUAGAUCUUUCGUGUAUUAAAUUCUUCUGAUGACAGGGCAUAUAACAUUAAAUGUUUCUAUCUUUUAGUAUCUGUUUUUCUCGAUUAGGGCAUAUGGUCAGAAAGGAACAUCAUACCCAAGAUAGAGUAGAAUAUUCUUAAUUCUAGUCCUGUUUACCUACUAAUUGCCUUUGUUAAUAAACCCACCCAAAUCUGUAGCAUGGUGCGUCUCUUUUUCUGCUAAGAACAUUUCCAAAAGACAUUUUAUAACUUUAAAUAUGAAGUUUUUUAUUCUUUAAAAAGGAACUUCAAAACUUCAAAUUUAAAGUUUUGAAGAGUGAAACUCUAUAUUUGAAGUUUCACUACUCAAAACUUCAAAUUUGAAGUUUCAUAUUUUAUUUGCAUUUUGGUUCCUACAAUCACACACCACUUUUAUGAUUCAUGAAUAUUUUCUCGUUUAUUGUUUUAAUCUUUUAAAAAUAUAUAUCUCAUAAAUAUUAAUUUUUUUACAGAUUUUAAAUUUUACACAUAAAAUUAAAUAAAACUUUAAAAUAAGAUUUUAAAUAUCUAAAACUAGAUUUAGACAACAAUAAUAUACAAACGAAACUUAACAAUUUUUUUAAAAAAAUUUACAUGAAGACAUAACUAGUACACAAAUUUAAAUAUUACAACAACACUAAUAGUCAGGUAACUUUGAUCCAGAAACUUCAAAAUUUUUAAAUAUUGUCCAAUUUUGUUUUGUGUAACUUAAGAUGGUUGUUGUUGUUGUUUUUGAUGUAUUUUUCGUACAAUUUUUUCUUGUUCAUAUCGAAUAUAUUCACGAGUAUUAAUAUCAUUGAAAAGAAAUUAGUCUCUUAGUAAUAUUUUAUGUUUCUCUUUUACUUUCUUGUUCCGAUCUAAUGUAUUUACAAGUAUCAAUAUCACCCGAUUUCAACAAAUUUUAGCUCGUAAUCUACAAAGUAAAAAUGAAGAGAGCCAUUUUAAUUUUGAUAUACACUAAUAGAUCAUAUAUGCAUUACGAAAAUCAUUUUAUAGAAUAAUAUUGUAUUUUUUUUGAAGUUCAAUAUUAAUUAAGUUAUUUUUAUUUAAAUUUUUAUAUUUUAAUAGAAUAUUUUAUUAGUUAAUAUUGUUGUAAUAUGUUUAUAUAUCUACUAAUUAUUUACAAUAUAAGGACCAUAUUAUAAAAUAUAAAUAGUUUUGAAGUUGAGUUUGAAGUUUUGCUUUUGGAGAAGAAUACCUUUAAACUUUAAAUAUAGAGUUUUGGAAACUUCAAAAUAGAGUUUCUUUUUGGAGAUGCUCUAAAUAAUAUGUAGUGUUCCUUUUUUACACUAUUCAAAUUAAAUUUUAGGAGAACAAACCAUUUCAUAUAUUUCACAUAAAAAAUCAAGAUGCACUGCCAAAAACCAUGUCAAUAUAUGUAGUACAUAUAGAGAAUGCAGUAUUUCCGAUAUAUUUUAUAAGAAUAUGGGCAAUCUUCUCCAAAUCUUGUAAUUAUGUGUUACGUUUUACAAGUUCAUCAAUUCACGAAAA